UUCAUAAUAAGUAUAUUGAAUGAACAAAAUUAUUACAAUUAGUUAAUAUAUUCAUAUCGGCAUAAUUAAUUACCUAUUGGAUUCACAGGGUAAAAAUAUUCCUAAAAUAAAUAAAAAUACACAAACUUUGUACAUAAAACUUAAACGACUAAGUACAAUAAUUAUUAUACAAUUUUAUAAGUUUUAAAUAUUGCUGAAUAUCUACAGUUUGAAACACUUAAAAAUUUUAACAAAUACAAAUUAUCUACAAUAUAAAACAACCGUGUAAAUAACAUUAACAGCACAUGGGUUUUACAAGUUUUUUUUAAAUAAUCAAAAUUUCAUGGAAAUCUUAAAAUUAUACAUAACUAAGUACCUACUGAAAAUAUUAUGCAAUUAUAUUACUUUCCAAAUAAUUAAGGGCAAACCACGCUAAAAACUUAAAUUAUAUAAUGGUUGUUGAGGUUGCUUUGGAAUGAAAAAAAUAUAUAUAAAAUUCUAUGAAAUGCAAUUAAAUACAAUAGUCGAAGAGCCCGUAAUCGCCAGAUCUACUACUUCAAGUAUAAAGGCCCUAUCUCACUAAUAAAAUUAAUAAUAUACUGAACUUGCGAUUGCCAACUUGUUUUUUAAGAAACUUGAAUUUUGCCAUUUUAACACAGAUCAUGUGAGCGUACUCAGAAAUAAAUGCUAUACAAAGUGUCAACACGACACAGAUAAUAAUAUGUAUAUACAGAUAAGCAACUUGCGUGGUGGCUACAAUAGUCCCUCUUGCUCAAACAGAGGUACUUACUUGUGAAAUGUCAUUCUUUCUAUUUUACUUUCGCUUCGGUUUUAAAAGCCUAGUAUGUAUAUUGCAACCUGGUGGGUUGCAGGAUACUAGGCUACUAGGCAAUGACUCCAAAAAGAAAAAUCAAUUAUUUCUGUAAAAAACUUGAGUCGACAUAACCUCACUUUACGUUGUUUGUCACAAUCUCACGAACAAAAUACAUUUAGACGAACAAAAAUAUUGGUCAUG